rnacentral:rRNA from 1 species
AUGUUGUUCGGAAUCACUGGGCGUAAAGGGAGCGUAGGCGGGCUCUUAAGUUAGGUGUUUAAUCCCGGGGCCCAACCCCGGUCGUGCACUUAAAACUGGGAGUCUUGAAUAGUGGAGAGGUCAGUGGAAUUGGGGGUGUAGCGGUGGAAUGCGUAGAGAUCCCCAAGAACACCAGUUGCGAAGGCGGCUGACUGGACACAUAUUGACGCUGAGGCUCGAAAGCAUGGGGAGCAAACAGG